rfam:Cerapachys biroi unplaced genomic scaffold scaffold152, whole genome shotgun sequence.
UUCGGGAUAGCUCAACGGACAGAGCAAUCGCCCGGCAAGCGAAAGACCCGGGUUCGAUUCCCGGCCUCGGCU